rnacentral:lncRNA from 10 species
ACACAAGAUGUUCUGUGUAUAUAAGAGAAGCAAACAAAGAGUUUCAAUGUAGACAGUUCUGCCUGGCCGAGAGAAUUGGUUUCUCAAGCAUAUGGAUGGAUCCCUUUCUUCCUUGUUGUCUUUCUGUGAGUUGAUGCUGGAGUGUCUGAUGGUGAGGAAGGAUCAGUGCCUGAGAGAUAUGAAGAUGAGACACCCUGACAUUGGCCUCAGCACUAGAAACUUGUACUAUUUCACAUAGCUCCAAGAAGAAUUAAAAGAACCAAGGAUCUAACCACUCCCAAGCUGCCUUGUAAUCUGAAUCCUUGGAAUUUUCUUGGCCUACUUUUAGCUGAAGUUCUGACUCUGUAUCAGGGAGAGAUUCUUCACUAAAUUGAUCCUUUUCUUGAGAGUGAGCUAACCCAAUAAGCACUGAAAUUCAUUUAAAGGAAAAAUUUGCAUUAACAUUUCUUAUAAUUUUGUAUCAUUUUUACAUGAAAGUGAAUAUUCUCCUCCACUCUAUCCCACACGCACACACAGGGGCACUCAAUUUGGGCAGUUUCUUUUUAAUGUCUAUCAGAUUUACUCUAGGCAAACUGAGAAAACAUAGGAAGCCAGUUUCAGCAUGGUAACAAUAGCUCAUAAGCCCACCUGCCACCAUACACAGGUGCUUUUAUCAAGACGUAAUAGAAUGUUAGAGAACUAAUUACAGUAUCAUUUUUCAAACAUGACACUCUCUAGAAGUUCAGGUUAAUUUAUUCCCUCAAUAAGUAUUUUUCAAAUGCAAACUUGAUGAAUGGCACUGAUCUAUGUGCUAAAGAUGAGGAACAAAAAAUGCAAGAUCAAAACCCUGCCCACCAGUCACUUACUGUCCUGUUAGAGAAAAUUCGUAAUGCAGAAUUGUAUAUGAGUAACAAAGGGACGUAGCUGAAUGAAUGUUAUGGAUGCUACGGUUCCAAGACAGAAGAGCUAACGAAUGCAUUAUUCAUUCUAAAGAUGAGACUUGAGUACAGCCUUGGAGAAUGGGGAAGGAGAAGUAUGAAAAAGGCUUGAGGUCAGAAAUAUGCUUUAUUCAGUUGACAGUGAGGAUUCUCAGCUGUCCAGAGAGGAAGGUUCAUACUGGCAAGAAGUAAAUUCAGUAGGCAGGAGAAAUCUUCAUGGCUAAAAUCUCAUGCAGGGUCAAACUGUCUGGGUUUGAAUUCUGGAUCUAUCACUUACUAGCUGAUGAUUGUACCUCUGAAGUCUCAAAGCAUCUUACAGAGCCAUUUGGGAGAUUUUUUGAGUCCAUUUAUGUAGGGCACAUAGCACAGUUCCUGGCAUAUUAGCGCCACCCUGUAAAUGUCAGCUACUAUCAGUAGAGGUGGUGGAGAACCCUAUAUGAAAUGGAUUUGAAUGCCAAAAUGAGAAGUCAGAACUUGACCUUUACAUGAUAUCAUAUUCUGCUUCACACUGCCAGGUUAUGCCCUUCUCUCCUGUUUUGAAAAUUAGUGCCUGUGUCUGUGUCUUUUUUAUUUAAGUUUCAAAAUUAUGUAAAAAACAUUGUUCAAAAUUAUUUUUUCAGUAUGAAAAUUAAGAAGAAAUCUGUAUUGGAAUUUUCCUUUCUCCAUUUCUAACACGAAUUAAAUCUGGAGACUGGGAAGUUAUCACGUGAGCUAAUUACAAUGCUAAUUAGCCCAGUUUACGGGGACUGCUGUGCAUUUGUACACGAGGGUUCUUUGUUUGAUCUGCUACAUCAUAAGCUUACCAGCACGGAGGGAUAGCAUGUAUCGUUGAACGUGGAAGAACACACCUUCAUUUGUGUUAAUGAAGAAAACUACUGAAAACCAACAGACUAAUUAAGGGUAACGAUGAACAAUUUUGAUCAGCAAUUAUUUUUUAAUAUCGAAGUUCGCUCCUGGAAAGAGUAGAAUGGGGAAGUUCAUCUUCCAGCUUUCUACCCAGAAAAGUAGUGAGAGAGAGAUCCUGCUUCAUUUCCAAUUCUUCUCCCACAAACUGUUUUAACAUAUAAUUUAAUCGAUGCCUUUAUUUCAAAAGAAAAAAAUAAUUAUAGAGCUUGUUGGGAUCAUUUUCUGAAGAGAGGACAUUAUGCGUGCAUGAAUUCCAUCGGUGAUCUGAGGAGGAGCAGGCUGCUUGGACCAUUACCCAUCAUUGUCGAACAGCAGAGUAAUUAAUUGGGCAAAUACGUCUAGAUCUGGUGAAUUCACAUGCACAGUAACUGGGCAGCAGCAACACACACUCUUUUACUGUGAAUAAAAUAGCAAUAGUUUUAUGUGCCUUUGUGCUAUGUAAAAUGUCUUUUUUUUUCCUCUUGGCUUUAUCCAUUCCAGAUUAUUUUGUCCAUCUUUAUGUACUCAUUUGAAAAGAGGUUGCUUAUUACAAAGGAAAAAGAUAUCUAGAUGAGCAAGUUUGAAUUCCAUGUCUCUGUUUAUUUUUAAAGGAAUGAAUUGGGUUCAUUAUUCUUUCACUAAUUUUUAAAAUAAUUUAAUAUUUUCACUAAAAUGAGUUAAAUGAGCAUGAGGAAAUAGUAUUUUUUAAACUAGUUCCAGGAAUGGACAAGCUCCUAAAAAAAUUAUUAAGGCCUUCUAAUUACCGUACAAUAUUAAUUCAAAAAUUUAAUUUUUUAUUUAAGUGUCAUCUACAGAGGUAAAAAAUAAGGCACAGCAUUUGUCCUGGAGAAACUUCUUAUAAUAGUCCUCUGUAAAGUAUAGAUAAUCAAACAAUCUAACACUGUUUAUUUGAACAUCAAAAAGUGGACAAAUAUUUAGAGGAAAUAAUAUAAUUGUUUUAAUGCAAAUCAUCUCUGAUGGCUAAGUCCAAAUGUAAUAAGAAAGCUUAGGUUUUGAUUUAAAAGGAAGUCAAUUUUCCAGCAUCUCCCCUUCUGAAGAGGUUAAAUGAUGAUUCUUUUUUUUUUUUUUUCCGAUCACAUUUUAAUCCAGAUGACAGAGGACUUGCACUCCUAAUUCAGACUUUCUGGUAAAGCUCAGCUUGUCACAAUGUAUAGCUUUCUUUUCUUUGAUAAGGUCAGUUUGCCAAAAAGAACAAAGUGCAUAUGAGUAAUACAUUACUCAACCACUUGUAUACAUACAUCUAUUUUUCUUACCAGGUCUCACUAUUCAGAAAGGUACAGACAUGGCACCAUGAUAAAAAGGGUCAUUUAAAAGACUUCGCAGAGGCUCUGUACUGUGAAGGAUUGAAUUUUCACUUGAAUGCCUACAUUUUCACAUCUUUUUCUUUGCAGAAAUAUUCCUUUUGAAUGGCAGACUGCAAUUGGGUAGGUUUUUUUUUUUUUAAGUCACUGACCAGGAAUAUAUAAAAUAUUAGAAGGCAUUUGUCCCAGUGGAAGAACACAGUUCACUACCAGGUACCAGGUGGUUAUUAAGAAAGUUAUACAACUUUAUCUCUUCAGAUUGAAGAGCUCCUUCAGAUAAAAGCCUUAAGUUCAGUCAAGGUGGAAGGAACACUAAGGUCUGUCACUUCUAAAUGACAGACAAUUUAAAUAACUUGUGAAAUCAUUAGCCUCAAAGCCAUCUACCUAGUAAUUUUUCAUAAUCACAUCCAAUGUGUAUUCUUAGGAACACACAAGCAGACUCCAGUUUAUCUUUCUAUCUACUUCAAUAUUUGAUCACAACAUUUUGAGAAAUAUGCUCAUGACUAAUUUUAAAACCUCUAAUUUUUCUUUAAUGGUUUUAUAUUUCCCAAAUACACUUAAAGGGGUGGGGAGGAGAGAAAAGUCUAUUAAAUACACUGAAACUUUUUAAUAUUGGUUACUGGAUUCCCUAAGGAGUUAGUGUAAAUUCAGUUCAGUUGAAUGAAACAGAUAUUUCUUCAUCUCCUACUAUCAGUAUGGUAUUGUGCUGGGAUUACGGGGAGAAAUAGGAAUGAAUAAAGCACCUUCUCUACGCUUAAGGAUUCUAGAAUCUAUAAAAAAAGUAAGGUGCAUAACCAUAAUAAAAGCUAGAAUAUGAUGAAUAAGAACAGAAAGUCACAAAAUUCUGUCAGAAUAUAUCAAUGAGAUUUUGUCUGGCUGUAUCAAGGAUGACAUCAUAGAGGAGAGAGCACUUAAACACUGCCUUGAAAGAUGCAUUCAGUUGGCCUGCAGUGGAGAAGGACAGAAUAGUCUGAUAGAAUUGCUACAUUCUGGAAAGGAAAAUGCCAAGAGAAAAAGCAUCCAGGUGGGAAAAAUGCAGGAAUGUUGGUGUGACAUGGAGUCCAAUAUAAGCGAGACAGAGGGGGAAUAUAAGUUGCUUGAGGAGGAGUGAUGAAAAUCAAGUGUGAACAACUAUGUUGACACUUGAUGUUACUAAGGAGUUUGGUUGUGAUUCUACAGGCAAUUGAGAGCUUCAGAGCAACACAAUGUCUAACAGAACUGUGAUUUGUGUAGCUUGUAAAAUAUUGUUUCUUUCUUCUCAUGUAUAAUUUAUCUGUUUUUUCCUAUACUGUUAACGAUUUUUCUUGAACUUUAAUUCUAUUUUUUUCCCUUUCCUGUUGGAACUAAACCAGAGGACUAUAGAUGUCAUGGACAAUAUAUCCCCCACUCAAGUAUUCAUGUCCAAACUAAAUUGUUAAGAAACUUCACACUAACAAUAAUGAUUUUAUAACUCUAAGUCUAGUGGCAAUUGUGUAUUGUUAUUUUAAAAAAUACUUAGAAUUACUUAAUUACUUCUGAGUUAUGUGGAAUCAGAAAUACAUUUCUUUGAAAGUGAAACAGGAUAUCUUGUUCAUAUUGUAUAACAAAACUGGAUGAAAAGGUAUUUUUUGGGCUUUUAAGAAAUAAACUUGCAAACCUCCC